rnacentral:rRNA from 1 species
UCCUACGGGAGGCAGCAGUGGGGAAUAUUGGACAAUGGGGGGAACCCUGAUCCAGCGACGCCGCGUGAGUGAAGAAGUAUUUCGGUAUGUAAAGCUCUAUCAGCAGGGAAGAAAAUGACGGUACCUGACUAAGAAGCCCCGGCUAACUACGUGCCAGCAGCCGCGGUAAUACGUAGGGGGCAAGCGUUAUCCGAAUUUACUGGGUGUAAAGGGAGCGCAGACGGCUGUGCAAGUCUGGAGUGAAAGGCGGGGGCCCAACCCCCGGACUGCUCUGGAAACUGUAAAGCUGGAGUGCAGGAGAGGUA